rnacentral:rRNA from 1 species
UUGUUUGCAGGCUCAGAUACUGAUGACAUGGAGCACGACGAAUUGGAAGACUCAAGUCACAAUACCUAUGUCGACCAUGAUCCAUUGGACUAUAUCUACUCAAACCUCCCUGACCACACACACAUCCUGAAGCACGCCGCAAAUUGUGAUCACUGCAAGGCCAAGAAGUUUGUGUCUGAGGCCCCGGGAUUCUGCUGUCGCAGUGGGCAGAUCGAGCUGAAGCAACCGGAGCCCAUCCCGGAGCUAAUGAGGCUUUGGUCUAGCAUGGAUGCGGACUCAAGGCAUUUUCGGGAGAACAUACGGUUCUUCAACGGCCACUUCUCGUUCACAACCCUU